rnacentral:ncRNA from 1 species
GUAUGCUUGCCACCGGGUAAGCAUUUAAGUGCCAUAAGUACUUCGUUAGGUCAGAGAAGAAGUGCUUUUGGCACUUUUUUUUAA